GUGCCAGCAGCCGCGGUAAUACGGAGGGUGCAAGCGUUAAUCGGAAUUACUGGGCGUAAAGCGCACGCAGGCGGUUGGAUAAGUUAGAUGUGAAAGCCCCGGGCUCAACCUGGGAAUUGCAUUUAAAACUGUCCAGCUAGAGUCUUGUAGAGGGGGGUAGAAUUCCAGGUGUAACGGUGAAAUGCGUAUAGAUCUGGAGGAAUACCGGGUGGGCAAUGGCGGCCCCCUGGACCAAAGACUGACGUUCAUGUGCAAAGCGUGGGGAGCAAACAGGAUUAGAUACCUUGGUAGUUC
rnacentral:rRNA from 1 species